CCUACGGGAGGCUGCAGUGAGGAAUAUUGGUCAAUGGACGCGAGCCUGAACCAGCCAAGUAGCGUGAAGGAUGACUGCCCUACGGGUUGUAAACUGCUUUUAUAAGGGAGUAAAGUGAGGCACGUGUACCUUUUUGUAUGUACUUUAUGAAUAAGGAUCGGCUAACUCCGUGCCAGCAGCCGCGGUAAUACGGAGGAUCCGAGCGUUAUCCGGAUUUAUUGGGUUUAAAGGGUGCGUAGAUGGGCUGUUAAGUUAGUUGUGAAAUUUUGCGGCUCAACCGCAGAAUUGCAAUUGAUACUGGUCGUCUAGAGAACAGUUGCGGUAGGCGGAAUGUGUGGUGUAGCGGUGAAAUGCUUAGAGAUCAUGCAGAACACCGAUUGCGAAGGCAGCUUACUAAACUACCACUGACAUUGAUGCACGAAAGCGUGGGUAUCAAACAGGAUUAGAUACCCGUGUAGUC
rnacentral:rRNA from 1 species